GGGGCAAAGGAGGGAAAUAUUA
rnacentral:rRNA from 1 species